AGUACGUAAGGUUCCUUGCAGCGAGCAAGGAGUAAAAGGGAAGUUAGUGAAAAUCUGACGCGGUCCCGCCACUGUAAAUGCUAGUUUCUAGCAAUAUGCCACUGAUUUUUUGGGAAGGCGCUAGAAACGUUUGAUGCAUAAGCCAGGAGACCUGCCUUCGUAUA
rnacentral:ncRNA from 1 species